rnacentral:rRNA from 1 species
GACGAAGGAUCCAAGCGUUAUCCGGAUUCAUUGGGUUUAAAGGGAGCGUAGGCGGGUUUAUAAGUCAGUGGUGAAAGCCGAUCGCUUAACGAUCGAACUGCCAUUGAUACUGUAGACCUAGAGUACAGAUGAUGUUGGCGGAAUAUGACAUGUAGCGGUGAAAUGCAUAGAUAUGUCAUAGAACACCGAUUGCGAAGGCAGCUGACAAAACUGUAACUGACUCUGAGGCUCGAAAGUGCGGGGAUCAAACAGG